UUUGCAACUUAGCAGCAUGUAAAUAUUGGUGUAGUGAAAUAAAUAUUAAACACCAAUAUUAUUGUGCUGCUCUA
rnacentral:pre_miRNA from 1 species